rnacentral:rRNA from 1 species
GACAGAGGGGGCAAGCGUUGUUCGGAAUUACUGGGCGUAAAGGGCUCGUAGGUGGCCAACUAAGUCGGACGUGAAAUCCCUCGGCUUAACCGGGGAACUGCGUCUGAUACUGGAUGGCUUGAGUUCGGGAGAGGGAUGCGGAAUUCCAGGUGUAGCGGUGAAAUGCGUAGAUAUCUGGAGGAACACCGGUGGCGAAGGCGGCAUCCUGGACCGACACUGACGCUGAGGAGCGAAAGCCAGGGGAGCAAAGCGGG